rnacentral:lncRNA from 1 species
GCGGGGAUUACCUCAAAGAAUAGGAUUACAGCCUCAAAGGACUUUUAAUGGGAUUAGAGAGCGUGCACCUGGACAGUUACCAUACAGAAUCCGCUUUGUAUUUGCUCUGUUUGACACUUGUCUUAGUGCUAGGCUUAGCCCUAGCCAUAGGUUGGACCCUUGUGGUGCCCCAACUUUUCCCUCGGAUAUACAAAUGUAACACUUAAAUGCUGUAUCAGGAAUUGCAAAGAAGUUAAAGACGAGAGAAUCUGAUUAUUUUGAUGAAUGUUGCUAUUCAAACCCUGCCUUUGAAAAUGGUUGUGCAUGGGAGAACAAACAGAUGAUUACCAUCGGAUGUGAUAUUUGGGACUGGUAUUUUUACCAGCAUAAGCUUUCAGAGAUUAUUGUGGUAAUAUGCAAUGUUUGCAAUGCAACUCUUAUACUACUUCACUGUAAAUUC